UACGUAGGGGGCUAGCGUUGUCCGGAAUCAUUGGGCGUAAAGCGCGUGUAGGCGGCCAGGUAGGUCUGCUGUGAAAACUCGAGGCUCAACCUCGAGAGGUCGGUGGAAACCGUCUGGCUAGAGUCCGGAAGAGGAGAGUGGAAUUCCCGGUGUAGCGGUGAAAUGCGCAGAUAUCGGGAAGAACACCCGUGGCGAAGGCGGCUCUCUGGGACGGUACUGACGCUGAGACGCGAAAGCGUGGGGAGCGAACAGG
rnacentral:rRNA from 1 species